GCAGGCGAGGUGGCAUGUGCCUGUAAGUCCAACUACUCGGAGAGCUGAGGCAGGGGAAUCACUUUGAGCCAGAAGUUUCUGGGCUAUAGUGCACUAUGUCAAUCAGGUGUCUGCACUAAGUUCAGCAUCAAUCAUGACCCUUCCCAGAGAGUGGGGACCACCCAGGUUACCUAAGCAGUGGUGAACCCAUCUUCAGGCUGGAAAAUGGAACAGGUCAAAAAUCUCAUGCCUGAUCUGUUAGGGAAUCAUGCCUGUGAAAAGUCACUGCACACGAGCCUGGGCCAAAUAUAGCAAGACUUGUCCUCU
rnacentral:SRP_RNA from 1 species